rnacentral:rRNA from 1 species
ACGCACGCUGGCGGCGUGCUUAACACAUGCAAGUCGAACGGAAAGGCCCCUUCGGGGGUACUCGAGUGGCGAACAGGUGAGUAACACGUGAGUAACCUGCCCUUGACUUCGGGAUAACUUCAGGAAACUGGGGCUAAUACCGGAUAGGAAUCCUUGCUGCAUGGUGGGGGUUGGAAAGCUUCGGCGGUUUUGGAUGGACUCGCGGCUUAUCAGCUUGUUGGUGGGGUAGUGGCUUACCAAGGCUUUGACGGGUAGCCGGCCUGAGAGGGCGACCGGCCACAUUGGGACUGAGAUACGGCCCAGACUCCUACGGGAGGCAGCAGUGGGGAAUAUUGCACAAUGGGCGGAAGCCUGAUGCAGCAACGCCGCGUGCGGGAUGACGGCCUUCGGGUUGUAAACCGCUUUCAGCAGGGGCGAAGCUUGUGGUGACGGUACCUGCAGAAGAAGCACCGGCUAACUACGUG